CAAAAGAAAAUAAGGAAAGAAAGAAAGAAAGAAAAGAAGAAAGAGAGAAGGAAAGAAGGGAAGUGGGAAAGGGGGGCUGCCGAGGAAGAGAAGAGGGAGGCGGCGCGGUGGGUGUCACUGCCACCGCCGCCGCCGCUGCUAAUCGAGAGAAGGGGAGAUCCAAGGAGAGAGAGAGAGCGUUGGUGGGAGAGGAAAACCGCUGCCACAGCUACCGCGGAUCGCCACUGACCUCGCGCCCGUCGCCGCCGACCACGAGCCAGAGGAGAAGAAGAACGAUGCUAUUACGCCGUCCCUCGCUGCAGAUGAAGCUCGCUGCCGCAGAUGAAGUUCGCCGCCGCAGCUGCUCCUGUUCGCGCCGUCGUCGUCGCCGAAGGGAGCCAUCGUCGCUGUCAUUGGAACAGAGGGCGAGAGAGAGACAGAGAGCUCGCGGUGGGGGAAAGGAUAGGCGCCGCCGUGCUGCGUGAAGCUAUCGCCGCCGUUCCUGCUGCCGUCCAGCCUCAGUUAGCACCGCCGAAGCUCCUGCCAUCACCGUCGUCGAGGAAGCUCACCGGAGUUGCUGGAGGCUACCGCCGCUCUAUCUGGUUCUAUUUUGAGUCGCACAACCGUGUCCGUGGCCGCCGGAGACCGUAUCUGAAGCUCGCGGUGGGGGAAAGGAUAGGCGCCGCCGUGCUGCACGAAGCUAUCGCCGCCGUUCCUGCCGCCGUCCAGCCUCGGUUAGCACCGCCGAAGCUCCUGCCAUCACCGUCGUCGAGGAAGCUCACCGGAGUUGCUGGAGGCUACCGCCGCUCUAUCUGGUUCUAUUUUGAGUCGCACAACCGUGUCCGUGGCCGCCGGAGACCGUAUCUGAAUCCUCUGUCUUCUUGGGUUUUGGUUGUUGCAAGUUACUCGGCUAUACGCUGUUGUUGGAACCAGGCCAGAUUUACCGAAUAGUGUUAUUGCCAUCAGGACAGAUGCAUAGGUCUCUGAUUAUGUUCUUUGCUGCUCCAUCGUUCUGUUUUCUAUAGCUGCAGGUCGAGUUUCGGUAAUCGCAUGGUUGGAGUAAAAGCCGUUUUUGUUGUGAAAGUAAACGGAACUGUGGAUGCAGCUGCCGCUGAAUGCGAGCCGAAAGAAAAAGAGUUUAUGUCUCGUAGUUAGAUCACAAUCGAGGAACCGGAUGAAGAAGCGUUAAGAAGAGUUAUAUUGCGUUUGGUUUAUAUGUCGUGUUAAU